rnacentral:rRNA from 1 species
AGAACGAACGCUGGCGGCAGGCUUAACACAUGCAAGUCGAGCGCUGUAGCAAUACAGAGCGGCGCACGGGUGAGUAACACGUGGGAACAUGCCUUUCGGUUCGGAAUAACUCAGGGAAACUUGUGCUAAUACCGGAUACGCCCUUACGGGGAAAGAUUUAUUGCCGAAAAGAGUGGCCCGCGUUGGAUUAGCUAGUUGGCGGGGUAAAAGCCCACCAAGGCGACGAUCCAUAGCUGGUCUGAGAGGACGACCAGCCACACUGGGACUGAGACACGGCCCAGACUCCUACGGGAGGCAGCAGUGGGGAAUCUUGGACAAUGGGGAAACCCUGAUCCAGCCAUGCCGCGUGAGUGAUGAAGGCCCUAGGGUUGUAAAACUCGUUUCGGCGGGGACGAUAAUGACGGUACCCGCAGGAAGAAGCUCCGGCUAACUUCGUGCCAGCAGCCGAC